CUUGAACAUUUUUUUGAACUAUUUAAAAUUAUGUUUAUCUGGGAGCCGCAGUGGCUGGAUGGUUAGGGCCUCCGACUGUGAUUUACCACACUGCAGUGAUGGGUUCGAAUACCGGUACAGUCCAUUUAAAAUUAAACAGGAAUAAUAUGUAAAAUCUGUUGUUGUGAUGAUUAUCUCUGACACCCAGGAUAGGGUUUCGUUUAUAACAAGAAUUACUUUACUUUACUGACGAAAAGUAAUGUUUGGCUCAUUGGGCCUGGAGUCAGCAAUAUGGAAGAUCCGUGAUCCAGGAAGGAAGUGUUACACCAGGAUGAGCGCUUGGCUUAUGCUGAUGAUGCAACUAUUAUGGUACGGUCGGCCGCUGUACUGAAAGCAGCAGGAGGAUGAAGCUGCGCCAUUUAACAUAAAAAUUAUUGAAGAAUAACGUAUGUACAUGGUGAUCACGAGCGAGCUAAAAUAGCAUUUAGCAGCAGAAAAUAAGUGCUAAGAAAAUUAAAGAAGACUUAUCGAAAUAUAAUUCUGUCCAGAAGACUGGAAAGGUGGACACUUACCGUAGCCGAAUAAAAAAGAAUAAACUGCUGGAAGAGAAAUAUGAUGUGCGUAAUUGUUGGGUCUACGGUGGCAAAUAGCAUUUAUGGUGGUCCCGUAGAACGGAAAACUGAAGGAACUGUACAAGUAUGAAAAAUUAGUAACAACUACAAAAGAGGCAGGAUGGAAGACGACAUAGGUCCUCGUAUAGCUUGGAAAUGGCAUCCUUAAUGCAAGAGAACUAGAUGCCGACUAAAUUUGCGGUGUUUGAAAGAUGUUGACAACGACCUACUAAAGAUAAAUGUGAGGUUGUAGAAGCAGAAGAUGGGUAGGAAAUGUAUAAACUGCUGGUAGAGGCUAAGCUCCUGUAAGGGGUGUAGUGCCAUGGAGUAAUAAUCUCAAAGAGACUCUCUCUUUUGGUGUGUCAGACGAUUAGUGUGUUAAUGUUGGGUGCCUCAUCAUUGAUUAUAUAAAUCAAACUUGACUACUCGGAAAUCACUCAGGCCCAACAAUGAAAAUGUCGAAUUGCCAAAUCGCGUCUGAUAGAACACCUGGGAGGACAGGUAGAACAAAAUGAUCGCUAACAACCAAAUUACUGAUUCAAUACCACGUACACAAUAAACAAUA